GAUGAACGCUGGCGGCGUGCCUAAUACAUGCAAGUCGAGCGAACAGACGAGGAGCUUGCUCCUCUGACGUUAGCGGCGGACGGGUGAGUAACACGUGGAUAACCUACCUAUAAGACUGGGAUAACUUCGGGAAACCGGAGCUAAUACCGGAUAAUAUAUUGAACCGGAUGGUUCAAUGGUGAAAGACGGUUUUGCUGUUACUUAUAGAUGGAUCCGCGCCGCAUUAGCUAGUUGGUAAGGUAACGGCUUACCAAGGCGACGAUGCGUAGCCGACCUGAGAGGGUGAUCGGCCACACUGGAACUGAGACACGGUCCAGACUCCUACGGGAGGCAGCAGUAGGGAAUCUUCCGCAAUGGGCGAAAGCCUGACGGAGCAACGCCGCGUGAGUGAUGAAGGUCUUCGGAUCGUAAAACUCUGUUAUUAGGGAAGAACAAAUGUGUAAGUAACUAUGCACGUCUUGACGGUACCUAAUCAGAAAGCCACGGCUAACUACGUG
rnacentral:rRNA from 1 species